rnacentral:rRNA from 1 species
GACGAACGCUGGCGGCGUGCUUAACACAUGCAAGUCGAACGCUGAACCCGCUUCGGUGGGGGAUGAGUGGCGAACGGGUGAGUAACACGUGGGCAACCUGCCCCCGGCUCUGGGAUAACUCCAAGAAAUUGGGGCUAAUACCGGAUGUGACCGCUGGCCGCAUGGUCUGGUGGUGGAAAGGGUUUCCGGCUGGGGAUGGGCCCGCGGCCUAUCAGCUUGUUGGUGGAGUAGUGGCCUACCAAGGCGACGACGGGUAGCCGGCCUGAGAGGGUGACCGGCCACACUGGGACUGAGACACGGCCCAGACUCCUACGGGAGGCAGCAGUGGGGAAUAUUGCGCAAUGGGCGGAAGCCUGACGCAGCGACGCCGCGUGGGGGAUGACGGCCUUCGGGUUGUAAACCUCUUUCAGCAGGGACGAAGCGCAAGUGACGGUACCUGCAGAAGAAGCACCGGCCAACUACGUG